AGAGUUUGGUCCUGGCUCAGAUUGGACGCUGGCGGCAUGCUUAACACAUGCGAGUCGGACGAGGACUAGCACUUCGGUGCUAGAGCCGAGUGGCGGACGGGUGAGUAACGCGUAGGGACCUGCCUUGGAGAGGGGGAUAACCCGGGGAAACUCGGGCUAAUACCGCAUGAUACCGUUGUCUUUUGGAUAACGGUCAAAUAGUGGCUUCCGCUGCUGCUCUGAGAAGGACCUGCGUCCGAUUAGCUUGUUGGUGGGGUAAAGGCCUACCAAGGCGACGAUCGGUAGCUGUUCUGAGAGGAAGAUCAGCCACACUGGGACUGAGACACGGCCCAGACUCCUACGGGAGGCACCAGUGGGGAAUAUUGGACAAUGGGGGCAACCCUGAUCCAGCGAUGCCGCGUGUGUGAAGAAGGCCCGAGGGUUGUAAAGCACUUUCAGUACGGAGGAAGUUGUAGUGGUGAAUAGCCAUUACAAUUGACGUUACCUACAGAAGAAGCACCGGCUAACUCUGUGCCAGCAGCCGCGGUAAUACAGAGGGUGCGAGCGUUAAUCGGAAUUACUGGGCGUAAAGGGCGCGUAGGCGGUUAUUUAAGUUGGCUGUGAAAGACCUGGGCUCACACUGGGACGGCCACUCAAAACUGGAUGACUAGAGUGCAAUAUACGAGAGCCGAGUUUCCGGUGUACCGCUGAACUGCGUAG
rnacentral:rRNA from 1 species